rnacentral:rRNA from 1 species
GAUGAACGCUGGCGGCGUGCUUAACACAUGCAAGUCGAACGGGAAACCUUUUAUUGAAGCUUCGGCAGAUUUAGCUGGUUUCUAGUGGCGGACGGGUGAGUAACGCGUGGGUAACCUGCCUUAUACAGGGGGAUAACAGUCAGAAAUGGCUGCUAAUACCGCAUAAGCGCACAGAGCUGCAUGGCUCAGUGUGAAAAACUCCGGUGGUAUAAGAUGGACCCGCGUUGGAUUAGCCGGUUGGUGGGGUAACGGCCCACCAAGGCGACGAUCCAUAGCCGGCCCGAGAGGGUGAACGGCCACAUUGGGACUGAGACACGGCCCAGACUCCUACGGGAGGCAGCAGUGGGGAAUAUUGCACAAUGGGGGAAACCCUGAUGCAGCGACGCCGCGUGAAGGAAGAAGUAUCUCGGUAUGUAAACUUCUAUCAGCAGGGAAGAUAAUGACGGUACCUGACUAAGAAGCCCCGGCUAACUACGUG